CCGGAGGCAGAGCCGUGCGGAGCCCGCCUGUCCCGUGCCUGCAGCAGCCGAGUGCUGAUGUAAGACCUUCCCGUCUCCCUGAAGCUGGACUUCCCAAACACUGUCCUCGCUAUUCCCCAGGGUUUCCACUGCGGAAAAUCCUAGGGGCUCUGAAGCCUGUCUGGGAAAUGCAAAGUAGGAUACAGAUUUGUUCGGAUUUGGGGAUUUUUUUAGAGGUGGCGAAUUCCUGAGAGCGGCCUUGCUUCCCCUCCUCCUCUGUCUCUUCCUCCUGCUCCCUUUGAACAAAUCAUUCCUCUUGCAGAAUCCCGUUGUUUAAUUUUGCUGAGCGCUGAGUCUCAACCUCCUGUUAAUUGGCUUUGCCCAUCUUUGUGCGUUCUGUUAAAUGAGAAAAUGCCACACAUAAAAUUUUAAUUUUGAAAGCCGCCUUGUUUGUUUUAUAUUGAAAUUACCCACGCCGCUCCGGCCUGCAGAAACAGACGCUUUCUCAUUUCAUUAGAAACUCUUUGUGAUGAUAAAGAGCAGCAGAAAGGAGAUAAAAAGUGGUGUUUCCUUAAAGGCACAUGAAAGCGAGAGAGAUAAAUCCCAUGUAUUGUAGGGGAUCAAAUGCAGCGCGAGGCUGCAGAGCGGCGAUACCGGGGUGGAGGCUGGGCAGCGCUGGAGCUGCUGCGGCUCCUCUCCCCGGGUGAGUGGGCGUUCUGCCGGCCUGGCCCCGGCCGUGGCCCCGGCGCCUCCGUUAAGGCACCGGCGGAGGCCGCGUCUCCAGACAUGCCCCCAGCCUUGCUGUCCCCUCUCCCGGCGAGCAGGAGCGCUCGCGAGCUGCGACGCGGUCCUUCAUGCAGAGGGAUUUCCCUGCUCCGGAGCAGACGGUUCUGGCCCUUGGACGUACCGGACAAAACGAGGCUGGUCCAGCUGAGGUUCCUGUGCAUCGGGGUUCUCUGUUGUGCAACUCUUCUGGCAUUCUUCAGUCUGGGGCGAUUCACGGAUUUAAAAAUUGAUGUUUGCGAGCUGCUGCUAUCAUUGUUUCCUACAAGCCUGCAGGUUUCCUGAGCUUUGCUACCAGGCACUGAAGCGCAGAGGCCAGGAGGGAGGGAUGUUUUCCUGACAGUGCUCGGGUCAAAGUUUGGUCUCUAAUGUGGUGAGGCUCAACAUGCUGGACGCUGCCUUACAGCCCGUGCAGGUCAGCACUCACACUCGCCCCCAGAAAGCACCCAACAUGCAUGUAGGGUGCUGGGGUUGUUACCAUUUGACGUGCACCUCUAAUUAAAAUUGCAGAUGUACAUGUGCUGGCGGGAGGAGAUAAAAGGCCAGGACUGGAGCCCCUCUGAAACAUUACUUUUAAUGGUUUUAACCUCAGAAUAGUAACAAGUGAGGACAAGCUGGAAUCCUAUCUGAGAAAGCCAGCUGCUCCACCGCAUCGAUCUCUUUGAUCCAGGGAUUUAUCUGCAUUUGCUAACUCAGGUUUUUACCGUGUCUCUUGCUCCACUUUGCAAUCCCAAGUCAGUCAAGCUGACGUGCAGCAGCCAGCAGAUAAGAAAAUCGAGAGUAAAGGCUGUCGUUAAAGGAAACCAGGAAGGAGACGAAUGAAUUUACCUAACGAGCGCGCUUGUUGGGGCAAAUCUGCCUUUAUUGCAAAACGAUUUGCAUAAAAAGCAGGUGUUCACAGACAAGGGCCCGUCUCCACAUCCGCGAGGACGGUUCUGCAAGGAAGGGACCUCGGCAACGGGCUGGGAGGGGACCGAGGGUGACCACAGGGAGAGGGGACACCGCUGCCCCGCUGGGCGAUGGGGCUGGGGACGUGGGGCUGCCGACAGGCCUGAGGGAACAUGAUGGGCUGGGGACAGGCCCGAGGGGAGGCGACGGGCUGGGGACAGGCCCGAGGGGAGGCGAUGGGCUGAGGACAGGCUUGAGGGGAGGUGACGGGCUGAGGACAGGCCCGAGGGGAGGCGAAAGGCUGGGGACAGGCUUGAGGGGAGGUGACGGGCUGGGGACAGGCCU
ensembl:lncRNA